AUCCAACCCACUACAGAAGAGCAGUGUUUUUAAAACAAAAUCUGAUGCAUGAGAUGUGUCUCCCUCAAACCUUGUUACAAUGUGGGCGCAUUACCCAUCUGACU